rnacentral:rRNA from 1 species
GGGGAAUAUUGCGCAAUGGGGGAAACCCUGACGCAGCGACGCCGCGUGGAGGAUGACGGUUUUCGGAUUGUAAACUCCUGUUAAGUGGGAAGAAUGACCACGAUUUAAUAAAUCGUGGGGGUGACGGUACCACUAGAGAAAGCACCGGCUAACUUCGUGCCAGCAGCCGCGGUAAUACGAAGGGUGCAAGCGUUAUUCGGAGUUACUGGGCGUAAAGAGCGUGUAGGCGGCUUGUUAAGUUGAUCGUUAAAUUCCUUGGCUCAACUGGGGAUGUGCGGUUGAUACUGGCGAGCUAGAGGACAAGAGAGAAAGGUGGAAUUCUCGGAGUAGCGGUAAAAUGCGUAGAUCUCGAGAGGAAUAUCGGUUGCGAAGGCGGCCUUUUGGCUUGUUUCUGACGCUAAAACGCGAAAGCGUGGGGAGCAAAC